ensembl:lncRNA
UAUGCAGCUAAAAUAAAGAUGGAUAAAACCUAAGUAGAAUAAUAAUCAAAGUUCAGUGAUGGAGGUUUUUAGUUUUCCCUUCUUUGUUUGUUUUUUUUUUUUUUUUAACCUCAGUGCUGGAAGCACUUUCUGACAUGUCAAACCAAACAAAACAGCAAAGUAAUUAUUCAUCGAAUCUUAGAGGCUCAGCAGCAUGAGACACACUCCAGCCGAUUCUUGGUGAAAAAAUAUAUUUAAGUCAAGCUUGUGUUUCCAUCUGGUCCAAAAAUUAUAAAACUACAAAAAUCUAAAUAUAUAUGCAUUUAAUUUUUUCUGUUCAGUAACUCUGUGAACAUCCAUCAGUGAUAUGAGUGUCUCUGUGAUGCUGUGAGAAUACAGCAGUGCGAGUCAGGUUAUUUUGUAUUAAUGGUGUAAAUUUGUAAAGCAGGAGCAGCUCCUGUAACACACAGGUGCUGUCAUGUCGAGUUAGUUUGUCACAAACCGUUUUUGUGGAUUUGGUGUUUAAAACAGCAAAAGGACAAAAGAUGGGAAUUUAGAUCAACCACAGUGAUGAUACUCAUGAAGAAGCAAGACAGCAGAGUGUCAGUGUGGCACCGACUCAUUUUGUCAGAAUAGGUGUUUUAUGUGUGUUUGGACAUGAACGUUUAAGCUCUUAAAUGUGUUUAAAAAACACAUUUUAAAUGAUCCUAUAGGAUACAUGUUAACAAAUAAGAAAAUCUUUUUCUCAAAACAUCAUUUUAGUGUUUAUUCAGAGUAGACAGUAACACCAGCAGAAUCACGGUCGUCUGUCUCUGUGAAGAUUCAUGUUUCCACAUUUUUAGCAUCACGGGUCUUCUAUCAGUUUUGCUGCAGCUGUAUUGUUGUGAUGAACCUAUAAAGUGUAAAGAGAAAUAAAAAAAUGUAAACGAAUUGCCACAUAUUCUCUGUUCUCGUCAGUGCUGUUCCAGAUUAAAUGCUGUUGUUCGACAUUAUAAAAGCUGUGCUGAUGGUGUUUUACCUCUGUGGCAUUUCCAGCAUGAGUAGCAUUAUUUGGAUGAAGAUGCAAGGUCUUGUUCUGAAAUGUGUUGGAUUACAUUAGGUACAGAUCUUUAAACCCAACCCUUCCCCAACAUCUAAAUAAAAUAUAACCUGCACAAAUAAACAAAUAAUUUUAUACAUCAGAAGGCAACAUUGCAGACAGAGGACAGCUACAAGUACCUGGGGAUCCCACAGGCAAAUGGGAACCAUGAAGAGGUCAUUAGGAAACCUGCAACCACCAAGUACCUGCAGAGGGUCAGGCAAGUCCUGAUGAGUCAACAGAAUGGGAAGAACAAGAUCCGGGCUAUCAGCGCCUGUGAUCAGGUACCCUCCUGGGAUAAUAAGCUGGCCAAAGGAGGAGAUAGAAGCCACUGACAUCAAGACAAGGAAGCUCCUGACUCUGCAUGGAGGGUUUCACCCCAAGUCCAGCACCGUGAGGCUGUACGCUAAACGGAAGGAAAGAGGCCGGGGACUGGUGAGUGUCAGCACCACAGUCCAGGAUGAAACAAUGGACAUCCAUGAAUGCAUCAGGGAGAUGGCCCCAAGUGACUGCGUGCUCAUUGAAUACGUCAGGCAGCAGAAACCCAAGAAUGAGGAGGAAGAGGAGGCACCAUCAUGGAAGGACAGACCCCUGCACGGUAUGUACCACAGGCAGAUAGAGGAAAUGGCUGGCAUCCAGAAAUGGAUCGGACAAUUGGACAAAGCUGGACUGAAAGACAGCACAGAGGCACUAAUCAUGGCAGCACAGGAACAAGCUCUGAGCAUAAGAUCCAAAGAGGCUGAGGUCUAUCACACCAGGCAAGACCCCAGAUGCAGGCUGUGUAAAGAUGCCCCUGAGACAAUCCAGCCCAUAACAGCAGGGUGCAAGAUGCUAGCAGGCAAGGCAUACAUGGAACACUAUAAACAAGUGGUCGGCAUACAGAAACAUCUGUGCCGAAUACGGCCUGGAAGUCCCGAAGUCAAAAUGGGAGAAAUUUUUAAAUAACCUUAGACAUAGCACAUAACAACAAAUAAGAGACACUUAACAAAUAAAGGAAACUUUUCUCACAACAGACUUUUAAUGAUUAUUUAGGUAAGACAGUAACAAGAGCAGAAUCACGGUCGUCCACCUUUGCUUCCACUGAAAUGUUCUGAGGAACAGUCUGUAAAUUACACAGAGGGAAAAAAGAUCAAAUGAUUUCACUUAACUGUCACAAAAUCACACCUAUGGCCAGGUUUUUGUGAUACUUUUAUCUUUUUUAAGACAUUUGUUUUAAAAUACAAUUUUUCAAGGCACUUUUGGUAAUUUUCUUUUUAAAAAAAAAGAAAUUAUGACAAAUUAUAGAUAUAUAAAUAUAGUGUUGUUGAUGGUGUUUUACCUGUGUGUCAUUUCCCUCAGCUGAUUCGGUUGCAUCACGUGUACCUUCAAAGCCAUGCCAGCACCCAUGGCACAACUGAAAUUUAUUGAUUUAUAUUAGUUACAGGCCUUUGUACUUCACUUUUCUAUCAACAUUGAAAUAAAAUGUAAUCUACACAAAUAUCAGUGAUUCUUGAGAUAAGGGACAAAACAUGUCCGGCAGAUAAAACCCAAUUUUGUGGUUAAAAAUAUGCAUACAAGUGUUAACCCAACUGCCUAAAAGACAAACCAAGGCAAUGUUUAUACAACAAAAGUAUGAUUUUGCAUUUUUUAUACAUAUAUAUUUAUUUUAAAUGGUACAAUACAUUACCAGUACCUUAAAAAUCCAUUGUCCAAAAGCAGGUGUGAUAAUAUUAAAAUACAGAAAAAAAAUUAAAAGUAAUGUAAAAUUAAAGAUCAUGGCUCUCGUCCCUAAGUAUUUAAGUCAAUACCUUAUAUAAUAUCAACAUAUGCAAUUGAAAAUUUAUUUUUACAUAUUUUUUAAGUGAUUAAAAUCGUGUCCAGAGUUUUUGUCAACACCAUCAGAUUUUUUUAAAAGUAGAAAAAAAUCAGGAAUUAUUGUGGGUAGCUUACACUCUGAGGACCCCUUUACCACUUCCUGUUUGAUACACAUGCCAUGAGGUCACUGCUGUGAUAAUUUAUUUUAUUUUUAUUUCAUUUAUGACACACCUUUCUGAUAAAACUCUGUGUCACGACCAUAGUGCGUCAACACCAAAGUCGAUGUAAACCAAGAUUUAAUUUUCUUUUUUUUGUAAAAAGAGCUUCAUUUAGGUAGAUUGUGGAGGCCAUAAGCAAAUGAUGAAAAACAAGAUGGCUUCUGUCAGAAAAACAUGUUAUGAGAGAAAGUAGGGUAUUUUGUCAACACCAUCAGAUGUCAACACCAUCAGGAUUUUUGUCUGACGGUGUUGACCCUUUUUCUAAUGGUGUUGACAAAUGCCACAAAAGUGUGCUAUUCACCAUUUAUAUUAAGUUAUUUUUUACUAAUAUUUCAGAUAUAUUACUUCCUGUGUAUUUUACUGAUAUUUCUGCCUUACAGAUGUGUCAAAUAUUAUCAAAUUUGCCUUAUCUUGAAUCUCAUUGUUUAUGUAUACAUCAUUAAUCCUGUAGGAAAAUGCUUAGUCCUCUGCAUUUAACCCACUCACUCAGUGAUGCAGUGGGCAGCUACAAAUCCAGGAUAGCCGCUGUUCUUUGGAUUUGAACGCCCAACCUUCCGAUCAUGUGGCAUCUACUGAGCUAGCUGUGCCCCGAGAGCUGGUCUUUAAGUGAUGAUUAAUGAAUCCUGCUUCCGGGCCUAAACUACUCUGUGUUUAUUAAACCUGUUGUGCUGUUAAAAUGUUUUAAUGCUUUUUAUCUUGUUCUAUUACAUCUAAACAAGCCCCUAAAAACCGUCAGUGAUCACUGUCAGCCUAACCAUCGCGAACCCUCACGUUAACUUUUAUCAAGUGGAAAAAGGUUAGCGUUCAUCCUCCAGCUUCACUGUGUUUAUAUUAUGCUAACAUAGCUGUGUCGCUAACGAUCAGAUAGCACAUCACUAUAUACCAGCUAGCCCAACUUCAGUAACCCGACAAAAGUCACUGCUGUUUAGUAUUCUGUGAUAGCAGAGCUGGUAUAUCAUGUUCAGGUGGAAACAAGCAAUCUAACUUCUAACUCUGUUAAAUUUCAUAUAUUCUGUUUUCAUGGAUGCCAGGAUGUUACAUCUGGUAGAGCAGCCACACUGAUCAUUUUAUUAAAGAUGAAAGAAUUUAGACAGUUUGUAACGCUCAGUGAUGCUGCAGAGUUCCUUUGACUUUGGGAUCUGCAGCGGAGUUUGGACCUGGAAAUGGCUAAUGACAUCAGACUUAAAGACCGGAUAGCAUCUCUAUUGCUUAAUGCAUAAUUGUGUUGUGAAUAUUCAUCCUUAAUCUGUAAAAAAGCAUCAGGUUCAGAAAAACUAUAGUAAUUACAAAAUGGUACAUUUCAGGCUAGAAUAGCAAAGGGGAACCUGUCAGUAGAGGAACGAAAGAGAAGGAACAGGGAGUAUCAAAAAAGACGGAGAGAAAAAAUUAACAGCCAGCCCGAGUUGAAGAAAGAGUUUCUCAUAAAGGAAAGGGAAAUAUGGAGAAAUAGAGUGAAAAAGAGAAAAAUAAAGAACAUCAGUGAUCUGAAAGGAAGAGAAAAAAGGCAGAAGAGAAGGUUUUGGAAGAAAGCACAGAGAGACAAAAGGAGAGAAAGUCCAGCAGGGUCUAAACACACAACCACAGAGUACUUUAGGAAUCAAGGAGGAGUAGGCAGCUACUUGCUGGUGAACUAUUAAGAUGUAAAACUUGACAUGUGCAAAAACAGAAUUGUUAUAAUGUGUCUUGUGAUAUUACAAAGGUUGUUAAGGUUUAAUGGUCAUUUUGAAAGAAAUAAUAUCUUGUUUUCUACUAGUGUGUCACCACCGUCAGCACCUUGUCAACUCCAUAAUAUGGAGUUUUGUUUAUUUUUCUUUUUGGAGAACCAUAUAUUUUCCUCCCUCAUGAUCUUCCAAUAAAAAUACGUAAUUUUCUCAAUAAAUGUGUAAUUUGCAUUUUGCUUAAUAUGAUUGUUUCUUAUAGAGAUUAAAUACAAGCUUCUGGAAAUAUGUAUGACUGUAACUCUAAUAAUAAAAAGCCAAAACAAUCUUACUUUUAAAUGUGGUAUAAUUAGUUUGAAAACAUAUGUGCAUAAAAAAUAGAAUAGAGAAGCUGCUAAUAGUCAAAAUAGCUGAAACAACUUAAUUUAAAAUAUAUAUUUUUGCAUUUCUUUGUGUCUGACGGUGUUGACAAAAACCUUGCUCUUCUCCAGCAAAAACAUAAAUUAUUAAAAAAUGUUACACCUGGGAGAUUGUACCAAAACAUGGUGAGACAGCCGAAACUUUGUGUAACAAUUAUAUGUAAAUAUGUUUUUGAAAAUUCAAAAAAUAUAUUUUAGAAAAUUAAAACCUGUUUUGUCCCUAAUCUCAGGAAUCACUGAUAUACAUUUAUACAUGAAAUACGUAUUCAUUAUUUACAUAAAUAAUUAUGUAAAGACAAAGAAAUUCUAAGUCAGGUUUUAAGGUUACACUAAUAUACAGUACAUCUGUGUCACUGUAGCAAUUUGAGCUUGUUGUGUUAGUAAAAAUGCUUUUAGGAGUCAAUAUAAAACAGAAUUCACACAAUUUGUGUAGAUAUUUGGCUACACAAAGUACUUGUUGAUGUGGAUGAUAAAUUGAUCUUAAAAGCAAAUAUAAAAAAUGAAUAUAAGUCUAAUUUUACUCCGUACUAGAUGAUCAAAGUCCCAACUCUGAAGCAAGUCAUAGAUCUGUUUAUUUUCCUGGUAUUUCAAGGCCCGGGGCAAAGAUUAUAUCCGUAAAAGGGGUUACAAAUAUAAUUCCAUACACCCCGUCAUGGGGCAAUUGUUAUUUAUUGUUGUUGUUUUUUCAAUUAAAAAAGACAUCUCAUGAUGAUAAGGAAUAGUCUCAGUUAUAUGUUAGUAAAUAGAGUCCAGAUUGACCUCUUUAAUAGUGAAAAAUAUUAAGUCUUUGUUGUGAAAGUUCAAUAUAGUUUGGUAGUUUUUCAAAGAUUUAAUUUAAUUUUUAUCUUACCACUGAGAUUAUGGUCUUUUCUGAGUUGCCUUCAUUAUGGACCUGAAAUGAAAGUGGAUGACAUUUAUAAUAACGUAUAAAGCUCAAAAUUUAAUAUGGCAGAUUUGUAAUAUAUAUUUUCAACAUUUACAUUUUUAUCCCAGCGCUGGAACAGGUAGAAAAACAAAAUAAAAUAUAAUCAGUAAUUUUUUUUUUUUUUUUUACGUAUUUAUUUUGACUUACAUUAUUCUUUGCUGGUGCUGUGCUUCCUUCAUGCAGCUGAAAUUAAAAUGAAUAACACUUUCAGAACACUUUCACAGAAUCCUACAAUAUAAAGCCAAAAUGCAGGGCUGGAGGUUUUUAUUUUUCCCUGUUUUUUUUAAAUAAUGUUUUUCACUCGAUGUUUGAAGGUUAUUUCAAAUCAAACAAUGCAGCUAAAUAAAAAUAAAGUUAAUCUCAGUUAAUCAGCACCAGCAUGAGACACACUUCAGCUGAUUCUUGAUGAUAAAUAUAUCUAAAUAAAUAUUUAUGUAGACUGUCAUUUGUUAUAAGCUUUCAACAUAUCUGUGAACAUCAAACAGUGAUAUAAUAUUUUCUUACCGAAGCUGUGAGAAUGAAUCCCACCAAACAGAGCAGUGUGAGUCCUCUCAUUUUGUAAUCAGCCUCCAGUGAGCAUUUAGACUUGUUUUAUAAUGCAUGUGUUUGUAGGUGGAGGCUGUUUUACUUCAGCUCUUGUUUAACAUCAAAGUUCAAAUUUGUUCAGAUUUGUUUGCUUACCUGCCCAAAGUCUGUUUUAUUCUCAACAACAGGGCAGAUGUUAAUUUGGUGAUAUAGAUACACACACACACACACACACACACACACACACACACACACAAACAUAUGUAAAAUUACUAUAAUUCACAGAAGUUUUCCUAAAGACAUUUCCUUUGUUUCUUGUAUUCAUAUGCAUUUUUAGAGUGUAAGCAGGUAUAAUGUAAAGCAGUACUGUGACUUUUUUGGUUCCACAUUUUCAUAGUUGUGUCUUAAACCAAUAAAACCCCAAGUUGUUUGGUUUUCUGUCACAUUUCACAAAGAGAAGCAGCAAGUGCUCACACUAAGAAGUUGAGAUUUACUGUAAAGGACAAUGACAAGGAAAAACAGAAAAUAAAGUGCCCUGUGUGAAUGUCUCUAGAUUGCUUUGAACAACAACAACUAACAAAGUCUAUUUAAUUUAUUUAUACUGCACCAAAUCACAAUAACAGUCGCCUCGGGGCAUUUUAUAUUGUAAGGCAGUCCCUACAAUAAUACAACAGAGAAAACCCCAGCAAUUAUACGACCCCCUGUGAGCAAGUGCUUUAGCGACAGUGGAAAGGAAAAACUCCCGUUUAACAGGAAGAAGAAAAAACCCAAAUUUUAUAUGUGUGUUAAUAUAUAUGGAAUUUGACGCAAAAUUUGAAAUGAAGUCAGAUUUUAUAACAAGCCCAUAUGAAACCCAAAUACACUGCAAAAAAAAUUGUAAAAAUAUAGAACAAUGUUCUGUAUAAAUGUGAAGUAUAUUAGCCAUUUACAGAUAUUUUUUCUGUAUUUCUUAACUACUGCAAUGCAUUGUGGGAGCAAGAACCCCAAAAGAAGGGAAAAGUAAGAGCAAGUGCAGCCAUUACACUUUUUUCAGGCUUCAUUUGGAUUUUGGACUUUGGAGCUGGAGAAACUGCCUUCACAUUUCUGUGGUAAAUAUUAAAGCUUUUGGGUUUUUUUAAAUUAAAAUAAUGUUUUUCAAAAGACAAAGUUUUUCAGGGUUUAACAUGACUUAAGCUUCCCAUUUUAGUUAAUAUUGAAGUUAUUUGUCGUUAUGAUACCACCAACUUUGCCCCCCAGUGUCUGGACCACUUUUCAUAAAUACUAUAGUUAGCUGUCUGCUUCUCUCAGGGUUUUACACAGCUGUGACUACCAGCUAGCUAAUUAGCUAAAGUCAGAGAUGUAGAUAACUGGGAAAAGUGAAAACUUGAUGGUUCUACUGAUGUAUAGACAAGAAAAAAAGAGUAGCUUUGUUUUACUCCCAGUGUGUUACUCCUGCCUCUGGAUUUAUGCUGCUUUAUUAUUGGACCAUCAGUAAAGAUUUGUUACAUUUAGUUCAUUGCAGCACAAUAUUAGUUGCGACACAGUGAUAGAUGACCACACAUGCUCAUACUCACACCUGCAUGCCUUUGUGGGGCAACACGAGUACCCACACAUACACAGAGAAAAAGCUAUGGCCAGUCAGCAGGUUCAAACCCAGGACCUUCUUCCUGUGAGGCCACAGUGCUAACCACUAUACCAUUCACACCAACCACAUUAGAAAAAAACCGAAUUUUUCACACAGUAUUUUUUUUCUUUUUUUUUUGUGAAUUCACAAUUAAAAUAAGCAGCAGCAGAAUGAAUAAAUGGCCUGGGCUUCUUCAUGUUGGCAGUAUUUCUCCUUCAGGACUUCAGAUGUGUUUGCUCUGUUGAGUUGAACCAUCUGCUGUGUGUUUUCACUUUUGUGUGUUUCCCUGGAAAAGAUCAUAUAAAUUAUAUUUAAUAUAAAAUUCAAGCACACCUAUGAAUACACACAAUGAGAAUAAGUUGUUGUUCUUGGGUAUAAUGGCUGUUUGUCAGAUUCAUUUCCAUGUUACUCUAACAGCAGCGGAUGUCAGCAGUAUUUAAAGGUCUUUAUUUUGCUGCAGUUUCUUACUUUGUUGUCCUUCUGGGGGCUCUGUUGGAGGGGCUCUGUAGGAGGGAACCCAAAAUCACUUUCCACUGGCCUAAUGGUGCCAUUCCACUGAUGGGAUUAAAAAGGAAGUCAGCCACACUUUAUGUUAAUGUGAGUCAGAUGAUAAAUGCAUCUUCAUCCUCUUGUAUUUCAACACUUUUCACGUGUCAGUCAUUGCUUCAUGAAACAUACCUGCGCAACAACUUUAUUUUCUGCGGUUUCCUCUUGUGGCUAAAAUAAGAGCACAUUUGAACUUUAAUGAGGAAACAGGUUCCAAUGUUUGUAAUCAUGUGUUUGUUUAUUCCUGCAAGGUCGUCGACUUUGGACUUCAAAUAAAACAGAAACAUAAUCAAAAAGCUAACCUCUCCCUUAGAAAUAGCAGCAGUUUGAUACAUGAGCACACUUUACAAUUGAAAACUACAAUUAUAUAAUAAAAAACCCGUAACAAAGACAUUUUUACUUUGAAUAAUUAAAGUAAGAAUUCUACUCAUAUUUGAGCAGCACUGCUUAUAUUUGUAAAAAUCUAAUUUGAUUUUAAGUUUCACCUAAACAGAUUAAAACAUGAAACACUCAAAGUUCACGCACCACUGUUGAGUUGGACGUCCCGUUUGUACCUCCCAUUGGCCUCAUAUGUAAAUAUCCAGCCUAAAAAAUAUAUUUAAAGCAGCUUUAGUUAUAACGUGUUCACUUCCAUUUGGCAGAUCAUAUAAAGGACUUUUUUGUCUUAAAACUUCCAAUGCUUAACAGAAUAAGCCUAAAAUAAUCAUUUUCUGUCACUUAACUGACACAUCAUGAUCAAACAAACAGACUUAUACCAAUUUAUCAUCUAAAAAAUAGAAGAUAUUGAGAUCCAAAAGCAAGCAGAGAUUACACAUUUGUUUAAUUAAUUAUAUGUAUUUUAAUUAUUAAGAUUGCAGGAAUGAUUAAGCUGUGUAUUUGUUUGCAGUAUUGAGUAACAAAGCAAUUUAUUGCUUACACUCAUGCUGUCUGCAACUCAAUUAGCUUAAUAAUAUAUUAAUAUUAUUAAUAGACAUUUAAACUGAGUAAAAACUUUGAAUGGGCAUAAUUGAUUUUGCAAUGAUAUAAAAAUGAUUGUAUUUUCAUUACCUUACAGAACAGUGGCAUUUAGUAUUUUUUAUUUUUCCUCACCUCUGCAAAUGAAAAGUCUGUCAAAGGCAGAUCUGUCAGUGCUGCCAGAAUAAUUCCCACCAUAAGCAGUGUGAGUCCCCUCAUCUUAAAACAAAUCAGCCUCCUGAGUGCCCGAUGUCUGCUUUGCAGUCCCAGUAAGAGGAGUUUGAAUUUAUGGCUUCACUUCUAGGUUAAAGUCCAACUCUGAGUUUAUUUUGUGUUAUUUUCCUCGCCUUCCCUCGUGACGCUUUCUAUGUCAAGUUUGAGUUUGU